rnacentral:lncRNA from 1 species
UUGGAAGAAAGAGAAAAAAGUGGGAAAAGAAGAUAUGGAAAUAUUUUGUUCCACAAAUCAAGCCCCUAAUAAAUCAUUGAUAAUUAAAUCUUAAAAAUAAAUUUUGGUACAUAAAUUGAAACAUGGUAUAUUUAAAUGUAAUAAAUACUAACCUUAAACAUGAGUGGUUAUAAGGUUUGUUACAUGGGAUGUAUAUAUAAAA